rnacentral:rRNA from 1 species
CACGUGGGGAACCUGCCCCAUAGUCUGGGAUACCACUUGGAAACAGGUGCUAAUACCGGAUAAGAGAGCGGAUCGCAUGAUCAGCUUUUAAAAGGCGGCGUAAGCUGUCGCUAUGGGAUGGCCCCGCGGUGCAUUAGCUAGUUGGUAAGGUAAAGGCUUACCAAGGCGAUGAUGCAUAGCCGAGUUGAGAGACUGAUCGGCCACAUUGGGACUGAGACACGGCCCAAACUCCUACGGGAGGCAGCAGUA